rnacentral:rRNA from 1 species
AAUAUUGCACAAUGGGCGCAAGCCUGAUGCAGCAACGCCGCGUGAGCGAUGAAGGACUUUGGGUCGUAAAGCUCUGUCCUUGGGGAAGAAUAAAUGACGGUACCCUUGGAGGAAGCCCCGGCUAACUACGUGCCAGCAGCCGCGGUAAUACGUAGGGGGCGAGCGUUGUCCGGAAUUACUGGGCGUAAAGGGUGCGUAGGCGGCCUUUUAAGUCAGAUGUGAAAGGCUGCGGCUUAACCGCAGGACUGCAUUUGAAACUGGAAGGCUUGAGUGUCGGAGAGGGUAGUGGAAUUCCCAGUGUAGCGGUGAAAUGCGUAGAUAUUGGGAGGAACACCAGUGGCGAAGGCGACUACCUGGACGAUAACUGACGCUGAGGCACGAAAGCUAGGGGAGCAAACAGG